CCGGCGGGGGACAGGGAAGGGGGAGCAGGGCACGAGUGCCUCAGAUCCGAUCCUGCAGGAAAAGGAUCGAGAAAGCCCCACUCGGAUUCUCCAUGGUGAGAACCUGACUCAGAGGGGCAGGGGCUCCUCUGUGAGACGGGCAUGGACCCUAAUCCUCAUCGCAGCCCUGAGAAGAAGCAGAGACUACAAUUUCCACCAUACAGUUGGGGAAACUGAGGCCCAGAGAUGGACAAGGAGCAAGGAUGUUAAGUCCAGCAUUCGCGUGUCUCUGGACGCUGCCAGGGGGACCAAAGGGAGGUCCUUCAGGAAGUGCCAGGAUGUGGCACACCCCAAACCACGCCCCCCGCCCCUGUCAUGAAAACAGAACGAAGGGGACCCAAAGCUUCCUCCUGACCUCUGCCCUUCACUUCCUUUUUCCUCCCCCAACCAAAAAAAAAAAAAAAAAAAAAAAACCCGAGUUGAUACUAUUGAAAACCUAAUAAAGUAUAAAAGAUUGGGUUGCUGUGUGAUCUUGGGCAGGUUGCUUAACCUCUCUGAUCCUCAGACUCCUUUGGAGAGAAGAAUCGAUGCAACUUCCUAGUGUUGUGACAAGGGAGAAAUGAGACGGUGCAUGGAACGCUGAGACAGCACAACCCCUGCACCAGGGAGGUCUUCAUUACAUGAUAGGUGUGAUUAUAUUAUUAAUGUUUGAGUCACGCCUAUUAUUUUUGUCUCUGUGUAGCCAGGGGUUUUCUGUUUGUCUGUUUGUUUGUUUGUUUAUUUGUUUGUGAGACAGAGGUUCACUCUUAUUGCCCAGGCUGGAGUGUAAUGGCACGAUCUCGGCUCACCACAACCUCUGCCUCUCAGGUUCAAGCGAUUUUCCUGCCUCAACCUCCCAAGUAGCUGGGAUUACAGGCAUACGCC
rnacentral:lncRNA from 10 species